AACGAACGCUGGCGGCGCGCCUAAUACAUGCAAGUCGAGCGAGAAGACGUAGCAAUACGUUUGUAAAGCGGCGAACGGGUGAGGAAUACAUGGGUAACCUACCCUCGAGUGGGGAAUAACUAGCCGAAAGGUUAGCUAAUACCGCGUACGCUCCUUGGACUUCGGCUCAGGGAGGAAAGCGAUACCGUGGGUAUCGCGCUCUUGGAUGGGCUCAUGUCCUAUCAGCUUGUUGGGAGGUAACGGCUCACCAAGGCUUCGACGGGUAGCUGGUCUGAGAGGACAAUCAGCCACACUGGCACUGCGACACGGGCCAGACUCCUACGGGAGGCAGCAGUAAGGAAUAUUGCGCAAUGGGCGAAAGCCUGACGCAGCGACGCCGCGUGGGGGA
rnacentral:rRNA from 1 species